AGCGUAGGCGGACUUUUAAGUGAGAUGUGAAAUACCCGGGCUCAACUUGGGUGCUGCAUUUCAAACUGGAAGUCUAGAGUGCAGGAGAGGAGAAUGGAAUUCCUAGUGUAGCGGUGAAAUGCGUAGAGAUUAGGAAGAACACCAGUGGCGAAGGCGAUUCUCUGGACUGUAACUGACGCUGAGGCUGAAAGCGUGGGGAGCAAACA
rnacentral:rRNA from 1 species